AUUAAGUUGGGGACUCUAGGGAGACCGCCGGGGAGAACUCGGAGGAAGGUGGGGAUGACGUCAAGUCAGCAUGCCCCUUACGUCUUGGGCUACACACGUACUACAAUGGUUGGGACAAAGGGAGGCGAAACUGCGAAGUGGAGCGAAUCCUGUCAAACCCAGCCCCAGUUCAGAUUGCAGGCUGAAACUCGCCUGCAUGAAGGAGGAAUCGCUAGUAAUCGCAGGUCAGCAUACUGCGGUGAAUCCGUUCCCGGGUCUUGUACACACCGCCCGUCACACCAUGGAAGUUGGUCACGCCCGAAGUCGUUACCUCAACCGUUUACGGAGAGGGAUGCCGAAGGUGGGACUAGUGACUGGGGUG
rnacentral:rRNA from 1 species